rnacentral:lncRNA from 1 species
GACUGCGCCGGAACUGCGCCCGAGCCGCGCUGGACGGCGGGGGCCCGGCCGGAGGUUGCGGGCGGAGCGCGGCCCGGGCGUCCCCGCGCGAGAGCCGGGCCCCCGGUCCCUCGCGACGCGGUCCCCGCCGCUCCGCCCGCCCGGCUCAGCGCGGCCCGCGAAUGGGGCGGCGACGGUUCCCUCGAGGCCGGGACGGCUCGGAGCCCGACGGCUGCGCCCGCUGCCCGGGCCGACGGCCCCCGGAGCCCCGCGCGGGCCUCCCGUUCCCCUUCCCGCGGGGCCGCCCCGCGCCCGCCCUGCCUGGCUCCCCGCGCCGUCGGGGCCGCCCGAAGCUCCGCGCCGAGGGCCCGCGUUCCCGGGCUCGGGCUCCCUGCGCGGCCCCGGCGCGCCCUGCGGCGGCGGCGUCUGCAAUGCAGCCGGCGGGAGGAGCCGGCGCUGCGCAACGAGCGGGGAGGCGUGGGGGCCAGGCUGGAGGGAGGGGGCCGGGGCCCGAGGACCCGGGGAGGGCCAGGGCGGGGCGGAGGACGGUGGGCGGGGACGGUGGCGGCGGCUCCGGCUUUGGGGAGGGGGUGCGGCGCUGGGCCCCCUUAGCUGGAGUGCAGGCUCCGCCCACCCUUUGGGUCUAACCUCCGCGUUCCAAAGUUCCAGCUCCAGCCCUGCGCACUUGGGGACUUCUGCGUGAGGGUCUCUCGCCCCGGCCACAAAUCCCGAGCCGCACCUCUUAAUCGAGGCUCAGGCGUCCCGAGCGGAUCCCGCUUUCUUUUUUCCCUGUGCUGUUUGCAGUCCCACGGCCUCGCACAGAGAAAGUGCCUGACCCCAAGACCUGUGAUGAGACCGCCUAUUUUGUUUUUGUUAUAUACUAAUAGAUAUAGAUAUAUAGAUACAGUCAAUUAUCUGUAAAAUCGGCCAUGUCUCUGCCACCUGGGUAAAAAGGUGUCUCGAAAUUGGGGGCGGAGUCUCUUUUCUGACCCUACCCAAACGCACACAGAAACAACCCCAACAUUUGCAGAGCCCUUAAGCCUGUACACCCAAUGAGGAAUCGCUGGUUAGAGGCCGCGUGAAGGACACCCUGACCAAGCUGGGUCCUGCCCAUGCCGGUAGAUCGUCCAUGGCUUCCCUUGGGGGCUGCCACCCACUGUAAACCUGAGCAAGUUCCUCUCCUGUUCCGAAGCCUGCCCUGGCAAAGCCCCAGUACAUAUUCCAAUCCUGCUCUAGGGAGACUCCUAUGCAUUCAUCAAGGUCCAGCUCAAAUCUGGCCACCCUCAGUGGCUUUUCCUGACGCUCUCAGCAGAACCAAACCUCCAGCUUUGUUAUGUGUUGGUGUUGCAGUACACAAGCAGGACAGCCCUCAUCUCCUUGAGAACAAGAACAAAGCCUGACAUCCCAGCAGCUUGCACAGUGCUGGCGGGGCACGCUGUAAGUGCUCAGCUGAUGGUUGUUGAAUUGCUCUGAAUGGAUUGUGAGCAAGAGACCAGCAGGGGUGGAGGCUGACAGGAGAGACAGCGCCUGCCUCUGUACUCUAAAGUGCCGGGGAACUCGUGGUGAUUUGGAUCCAGUUCAGGCACCUGAAGCCCAGUUAAAGAGAAGGAAUCUUCAGUCUUUUCUCUCUCAGAUACAGCCGGGCACGGUGGCUCACACCUGUAAUCCCAGUACUUUUAGGAGGCUGAGGCAGGAGGAUCACUGGAACCCAGGAGUUCGAGACCAGCCUGGGCAACAUGGAUCUCACUCUGUUGCCCAGGCUGGAGAGUAAUGCCAUGAUCUUGGCUCGAUGCAGCCUUGAUCUCUACAAAGGAAUUUUACCACAGUGAUUAAAGUUCGAGAUGCACAACAGAAAGUCCACAUCAACUGAUUUCAUUACACCUGUUACAUUUCAAUACACUCCAGGGAAAUGGUAGUCAUUAAUAUUAUAUACCAAAUAUCUCUGGUUGCUAUCCCUGGGGGUGCUUUGCACUGGCCUGUACCCUUUGAAGUUAGAUGUGACCAUGUGACUUUCUUGAGCCAAUGAAACAUGAAUAAAUCUGAUGUGUAUUAUUACAGAUAGAAGCUUUAAGAGCCAGUGACCUGCCCAACACAUUCUUUCCCCCGGCCCUGGCAAUUGUGCAAGCUUGUUUAUAGGAAAAGGUAGCCUCUGCCAGCCGGGGCCCCUGUGUGACCAUGAUGAGUAGGGCCCUCCCUAGCAAUUGUAGUUGGACUUGUAGCAUGAAUGAGAAAUCCAGUCCUGAGAUUGAAUUGGUUGUUACUGCAGUAUAAUCUAACCUCUCCUGUCUGAUAAGAAAUCAGAUGUUUCUGUAUAUAUCAACUUCCAGUAAAAGAAAAAAUCAUAAGAUUCUGCUCAAACUAAGUGACAAUUUAAAAAUAAGAGCAAGAUGCAUAUUCAGUAUAUCUUUAAGGCUUGAAGAAAUAGAAAAUAUUUUAAAAAGCCACAGGUAAAGCUGACAAGGCAAUUCAAUGGGGAAAGAAUCGUCUUCAACAAAUGGGGCUAGGACAAUGGGCUAUCCACAUGAAAAAGAAUGAAGUUGAACCCCUGCCUCACACCAUAUAUAAAAUGUAACUCAAAGUGGAUCAAAGACCUACAUAUAAGAGGUAAAGCUACAAAACUCUUGGAAAAAAAAUACGGCAGUAAACCUUCAUGACCUUGGAUUUGGCGAUAGUUUCUUAAAUAUAUCAAAAGCACAAGCAACCAAAGGAAAAAAUAAAUAAAUUGAACAUUAUCAAAAUUGAAAACCUCUUUGCUUCAAAGGGCAACAUCAAGAAGUAAAAAGACAUUUCACUAAAAGGGAGAAAAUAUUUGCAAAUCUCAUAUUUCAUAAGGGACUUGUAUCUCAAAUAUAAAGAGAACUCUUACAGCUCAAAAAUAAAAAGCAAAGAACCCAGUUUUUAAAAUGGGCAAAGUAUCUGAAUAGACAUUUCUCCAAAGAAGAUCAAUAAUAAGGGCAAUAAUCAAUAAUGCUCAACAUUUGAUUUGAGGAAAUCAAAGUCACUGAGGAAAUGCAAAUCAAAACCACAAUGAGAUACCACUUCACACCCACUAAGUGACUAUAAUCACAAAGAAAGACAAUAACAAGCGUUGGCAAGGAUGUGGAGAAAUUUGAACUUUUGUACACUGGUGGUGGAAAUGUAAAAUGGCACAGCUACUUAGGAAAACAGUCUGGCAGUUCUUCAAAAGGUUAAUUAUAAAGUUAUGAUGUGACCCAGCCAUUCCAUUCCUAGGUAUAUAUCCAAGAGAAUGAAAGGAGAUGUCCAUACAUAUGGACAUUUACUUAGCAAUAAAAAUAAUGAAGUACUGAUACAUGCUGCAACAUGGGUGAACCUUAAAAACAUCAUGCUAAGUGCAAGAAGCCAGCCACAAGUCCAUACAUUGUAUUACAUCAUUUAUAGAAAAUGUCCAGAUUAGGAAAGUUUAUGGUGACAGGAAAUAGAUCAAUAAUUGCCUAGGGAGGGUGGUGGGGGGGAGCUGAGGAGGAAUGGGGAGUGACCCUGGUUCAUGGGCAGCAGGAUGUUUCUUGGGGGAUGAAAAUGUUCUAAAAUUAGUUUGUGGUGAUGACUGCACAACCCUGUGAAAACACUCAGAAACUUUGUACUUCAAAUAGGUAAAUUGUAUGGUAUGUUAAUUAUGUCUCAAUAAUGCUGUAACACACACACAUAGACAAAGGAGAAUAGAAAGAGAAUGAAGAAGUAUAGAAUAGAAAUCAAUGGAUUUAACUUGAGAAAAGAAGACUGACCGACGGAAAAAGCUAGGCCCAGGUCAGGAGAGUCUGAUGGCCGAUCCUCCCAGUGAGUCGGUCUGGGCCAAUGUGGGGUGCAGUGGCAGGAGGGGAAUCUGAAUAGACAGGCCCUGUCCCAUGACUACUCAGUGAGGAGAUGAGACUGGCACAGGGGAGGCCCUGAGUCACACGAUGGUGAUGCCCAGGGCAGAAGAUGUCAGAAGACAGGCAGUUUGACAGUGCUUCUGAAGGUCGUGAAAAAGCCAGGGGUGAGUCUGUAAAGUCCCUGCUGGCCAUGAUGAUGUCCCUGACAGCUGGGGAUCCUGGCGAGAACAGCAUUCAGAACUUGGGAUUUUCCUUGCAGAUCACAAUGGUUGGCUGACUCAGGGGAAAGGGGGAGCUUUGCAGAGAGCCUCAAACAUCUCCAGCUGAGCUGCACCUGUCAGGGCCCCUGAGCCAUCCAGGAAGAAGGAGGCACUGAGGUGGGGAACGGGGUCCUGGCCUGGGGUCAGCAGCCUGGGCUCUGGUUCCAGUUCCGCACCCCCCCUUGCCCCCCAGAACUACCUGUAUGGCAAGCUCCUUUCCCUUCCUGUGCCUCAGUUUCCUCCUCUGUAAAAUCAGUUUAGACUACACUGCAAGGUUGUCCAGCCCGCAGUCAGUGGGCUGCAUGCCAGCCAGGACAGCUUUGAAUGUGGCCCAACACAAAUUCGUAAACCUUCUUAAAACAUUAUGAAAUUUUUUUGUGUGUGAUUUUUUUAACCUAAUCAGCUAUCAUUAGUGUUAGUGUACUUUAUGUGUGACCCAAGACAAUUCUUCUUCUUCUGCUGUGGCCCAGGGAAGACAAAAGAUUGGACACCCUGGACUAGAGUCUCAACAUAAUUCUUUAAAAAUCCUGUUUAAUCCAAAUCCGUUGUUGCUGCUGAAGGGACAGGUCUAAGGCCAUGUUGGUGGGGGGGGGGGGGGUCACAGUGCGUGGCCAGCAUGACCUGACAGAGCAGGUGCCCCUAUGCUUCAGCUGCAGGGACUCUGGGCUUAAAAUCAUCAGUCCCAUGAGUGCAGUUGCAUGUGUGAGCUUGGCCAACCCACGGCAUCAAGAGAAAGUACCCAUUCUCAUCAUUUUGAGCCAUUCAGCUUUGGGUUGGCUUGUUAUACGGCCAGAGAUAAUGGUCCUGACAGUGAUGUGGAGGAUAGUGGGGAGAAACAGUGUUUGCUACCAGGAUAUGCCAUGAUUGGCGUCAUCCUGGGAAGGUGCCAGCUGUAAUAUGGAGGGAGGAAGAGAUGCAUUAGCCAUCAGCCCAAAAACUGGCAGGUUUCUCCUAAUGGACAUAAUGCAGAAAAGAAUCCAAGGAAGCGGAGUGAAACCACCUUCAACUCAUUCUCCCUGCUGGCUGACACAGGCCCAUCCAUUCCGCCAGCAACUUCUACCAGGCCCCCACUAUUACACACAUGUUGGAUGUUAAAAUACACAGCUAUUCUCCCCAUUAAAGUGGGCGAAAUGCAGAGACAUCUCUGCUGUGAAGGGGAGCAGGAUACUAAAAAGCGGAUUGUCCCAAAUCAAUUCAGGUGGUGGGAAGGCAUGGUGAAAAAGUGCCCACUGGGCUGCAAUGUCAGAUGGCCCUGAGUUCGAAUCCCCAGCGGUGUGACACAGGACAAGUCACUUGACUCCUCUAAGAUUCAGGCUCCUCGUCAAUAGAAUGGGGAUGGAAAGAUCUGGAAUACGGCCGGGAUGAAGUUGGAUAAUAAACUUAAAUAGAUAGCCCAGGGCCUGGUGGGUGCCCAGUGAGGGCUCAGGGGAUAGAACCCGGAAAUCACCAUCACUUCGGGUCCUCCUGUCCUCAGGAUGUGCUCCAGAUCUUUCAGGGUGGCAGAUGCCUUCCUGCCACUUUCCUCCCUAUGCUGUUCGAAUGAGCUUGCCUUUCCUGCCUGCACAGCAGCUGUGUGAGGGAGUUGGCCAGGAUGCCCUAGGCAGAUUGAGUAAUCCCACACAGGUACAAGAGAGGUGCUCCAACGGAAUCUUAUUCUGUAGCCAUUCAGGAGUAGCUGGAGUGAGACGACCUAGGCCCAGACCUCUUAGCAUGCACUGGUUUAACUCACAGGUCCCACCCAGCCCAGCCUGCACCAGCAAAGCAAUACAGGCUGUUUCUUCUAAGCAAGAAUUCCCACAUGUCCAUGCACUUCUUCACCUGGCUAAGGGCUCACAGAUCCUCCCGUGCAGAGUGUAUGGGCUGCCACGGCCUUCUCUACGGCUCCCUGUGCAGGGUCCAACCCUUCUCAAGCUCCUGAAGAGGUGCUCAGGAGACCCCAGUCUUCAGGUCUGAGACAGCAUCAGAGGUCCUGUGGGGCUACAGUCAACUUUUCCAUGAGGCAGAAAGACCCCACUGAGCCUUCAAAGAGGAUGCCGUGUACCCUACAGCCCAGUAGAGUCACAGUGGUAAAUGGGCAUUUUAAUCAGAAAAGUACUCUCAAAAAAUGCACUAAAUCAAGCUGUCAUGGUGUGGCUUUCUUAUAAAGCAGAUAACAUUUAUUUUAAAAAAAAAAAAAACUGGCUGGGCACUGUGGCUCACGCCUGUAAUCCCAGCACUUUGGGAGGCUGAGGAGGGAGGAUCACGAGGUCAGGUGUUCGAGACCAGCCUGGCCAAUAUAGUGAAACCCUGUCUCUACUAAAAAUACAAAAAAGUAGCCAGGUGUGGUGGUGGUGCCUGUAGUCCCAGCUACUCGGAGGCUGAGGCAGGAGAAUUGCUUGAACCUGGGAGGUGGAGGUUGCAAUGAGCCGAGAUUGCGCCACUGUACUCUGGCCUGGGUGACAGUGUGAGACUCCGUAUCAAAAAACAAAACAAAACAGCAACAACAAAACAAAAACUUAGAGAUCUAAUUAAAGAGAAACAAGUGUGCUCUCUCAUAGGCAACAGUGGAGUCAAAAGACUGUGACAUUUAUGAGAAAGCCAUUUUGACAUCACCAUCCUCACAGCCACUGAGCCACUGUCAGGUACCCGUGAAAAUGAGAGCUGGAAAGUUGUCCUUUUAGGGAAGCAACUAGCUACUCCCUAAGAAUAAUAAGUACCAAGGUCAUGAAGAGAGGAGCUGUGCUGUUACCAACAGGAGACAGAGCAAUCACAAAGGAAGGCCCAAUUCUGUGCAAGUGCAUUUUAAAUGACAGCCGUCUCCUGCACCAGGGGAGGCAGAGCUGACAUAUUUAGUUCAGGGAGCAUUUGCAGAUACCUUUGGUGCUAAAUGACAUUACUUAGAAAAAGAAAAAAGUGGCCAGGGAAAAGCGCACACAUGACACACACUCGCAUGCCCCCACCCCCUGCUGAUCUCUCUUUGGCACCCUGGGUCACUUUGUCACUGUGGCCCCUCAUGGUGCAGCCACAGUCCCAUGCAGGCCAGCACCUCACUGGCUCUGGAACCAAUGAAGUGGAGGCUGUCCCCUGCUUGGCUCUGCUGCCCCCCAGGGCCUAAGAAGCACCUAUGUCCAAAGUGAAAUACCAUGGAUCGUGCUCUGUCUCCAGAGUGGGAACAAGAAACGCAGCCCCACCCAGUGAUCCUCCUGGUCUAAUCUCACUUUCAAGUGACUUGGAAUAAUGCCAGGGCGUUUCACCAAAUAUAAAAAUGAGCACCCACUCACUCUGUUACUGGGAAUGAAAAAAUGAGAACGCCGGGGAGGAAUGAUGUCUUUGAGUGCAAUUGGGGGCCUUGGAGCUUCAGGCUCCCUGCCGCGCCCUCUUCUCUCUGCUCAGAGCUCGCUCUUGCCUGCUGCUUUCCAGGGGAGGGGUGUAAAGACUCAUGAUGAAUGCGUCAGUCAUUUCCAAGUUCCAGAGUGCUGGGGGCUUCCAGGGCAUCAGGUCCCACCUCGUGGGGGCUGUGUCUGCAGCAUUUCUGGGCUGGCUCCAAAGCACCUCUGUGCAGGCCCUGUACAGAGCUAUCUACCGGUUUCUCCUGGCUUUAGCUCUCCUGGGUGACCCAGACCAGACCUUCUGAUGUCAUAAUAAACAUCAUGGAGCUUAUAAAAUUAGAGCAAUGAUGCAUUUUUUAUGCCUCAGGAAUUACACUGAAUUGUUAAUGUCUUGGAAAAUGGCUGAAUGCUGCAUUCGUAGCUUUCCUUUCCCUUAAGGGUGAAUUAUUGAGCAGGAAUGCUCUCUCCCCAGGUCCCCGCCCUGGCUCAGAGAUCCCUGUCUGCACCCAGCUGGGCACUAAUUGCAAGGUCCGAUCCAUUCCCAUCAGUGUUGAGGAGAGGAAGAGAGGUCUUGUUGGAGAAGAGUAGCCAUCGAGGAGGGGACAGUGGUGCUAGGGCUUCCUUCAGCCUCCCAGCCCCCAGCACAGGAGAGGGAGACAGCAGAGAGGGCCGGAGGGAGGGAGCUGGUGGCUUAAAAUGGAGCCGUUUACAACCCCGCACAGCAAAUGGAGCCAUUGGGAGGACACUUGACCGAGAGGAGAGCAUUGCUUGAGCCAGGGGUGCCGUCUGCAGGACAGAGACAGGAGGCAGUGUUGUUUCCAGGGCAUCGUGGACCAUGGCACAGGUGAGCAAUUUAAAAAGGUGAUUGGAAUCAUAUGUUAGAAUAAUGACCUUAGCAGUCAAAGGCUCCUGGAAUUUGUCAUUUAAUUUCAUAUUUUAGGUGGACUGAUCUGUAAUUUAGUUAAUUUCACAUCUCCAUCUAGGAAAACUGGAGCUCUGCACAAUAUUUUCUGCAGACGACAAAGUAUUCACCCAAACUAUUUCUCAUAGUAAAAUGUGCUCUUUGUCCCCAGAGAACUGCUGAAUACUACAUAAGAUCUGUGUAGGAGCCAUGCUUUAACAACAACAAACACCUCAGACACACAACAACCCUUUCCUCCCUCGAUAAAGAUACUGAAAAGAAUCUGGUCUCUGGGGUGAGGAGUAGGGGAAGCAGGUGCAAGCAAGUGGGUGCAGAGGAGUGGGAAGAUGGCAUUUUGUGUAGGAAAGAAUUUAACGUUGCCCAAAGAGAGGUCUGGCUUUUGUCCUCACCUUCUGGGAGGUGAACUCUAAGCCCUUGGAAUAUCAUGCCUGAUUGGAGUUUGUUUGCCUGGGAUCCUUGUGUCACAGAAUGGUCUAACCAUAUGAUUUAGGGUAGAUGCUGGCCACACUGGAUAGGUUUAGGGUAGGGGUUGGCUGUGCCAGAAAGACCAACAAUGUGACUUAGGGUGGGGUCUUUGGGUCACGUGGUAUCAGCUGACUCUGGAGGAGCUGGAGAGGGAGGGCAGUCACCUGUGUGAUGGAGCCGCAAUAAAAACUCUGAACACUGGGGCUAUGGUGAGCUGCCCUGGUUGGCAGUACUCCAUGGGUACUGUCACACAUCAAUGCCAGGAAAGUCAUGCUUUUCAUGAUUCCAUGGGGAAGAGGACAGUGGAAGCUCCAUGUCUGGUACCUUCCUGGACUAUGCCCUAUGCCCUUCCUCCCUUGGCUGAUUUUAAUCUGUAUCCUUUUGAUGUAAUAAUGUGCAACUGUGAGUAUGAGAGCUUUUGAUGAGUUCUGCGUCCUUCCAGUGAAUGAUCAAACCUGAGGGUGGUCUAGGGUACCCCUUGCAGUUGGUGCAGCAAUAAAGGUGGUCUUAUGUGGAUGGUGCUCCCUUUAACUUGACAGGUGGCUAACUGAUAUGGUUGGCUGUGUCCCCACCCAAAUCUCAUCUUGAAUUUCCAUGUGUUGUGGGAGGGACCCAGUCGAAGAUAAUUGAAUCAUGGAGGCAAGUCUUUCCUGUGUUGUUCUCACGAUAGUGAAUACAUCUCACGAGAUCUGAUGGUUUUAAAAACAGGAGUUGCCCUGUAAGAGCUCUUUCUCCCUUUGCCUGCUACCAUCCAUGUAAGAUGUGACUUGCUCCUCCUUGCCUUCCACCAUGAUUGUGAAACUUCCCCAGCCACGUGGAACUGUAAGUCCAAUUAAACCCCUUUCUUUUGUAAA